GAUGAACGCUGGCGGCGUGCCUAAUACAUGCAAGUCGAGCGAACAGACGAGGAGCUUGCUCCUCUGACGUUAGCGGCGGACGGGUGAGUAACACGUGGAUAACCUACCUAUAAGACUGGGAUAACUUCGGGAAACCGGAGCUAAUACCGGAUAAUAUAUUGAACCGCAGGGUUCAAUAGUGAAAGACGGUUUUGCUGUCACUUAUAGAUGGAUCCGCGCCGCAUUAGCUAGUUGGUAAGGUAACGGCUUACCAAGGCAACGAUGCGUAGCCGACCUGAGAGGGUGAUCGGCCACACUGGAACUGAGACACGGUCCAGACUCCUACGGGAGGCAGCAGUAGGGAAUCUUCCGCAAUGGGCGAAAGCUUGACGGAGCAACGCCGCGUGAGUGAUGAAGGUCUUCGGAUCGUAAAACUCUGUUAUUGGGGAAGAACAAAUGUGUAAGUAACUAUGCACGUCUUGACGGUACCUAAUCAGAAAGCCACGGCUAACUACGUG
rnacentral:rRNA from 1 species